CCUACGGGUGGCAGCAGUGGGGAAUAUUGGACAAUGGGCGAAAGCCUGAUCCAGCCAUGCCGCGUGUGUGAAGAAGGCCUUCGGGUUGUGAAGCACUUUCAGUGGGGAAGAAAGCCUUGGGGCUAAUACCCUCGAGGAAGGACAUCACCCACAGAAGAAGCACCGGCUAACUCCGUGCCAGCAGCCGCGGUAAUACGGAGGGUGCGAGCGUUAAUCGGAAUUACUGGGCGUAAAGCGCGCGUAGGCGGUCUGAUAAGCCGGUUGUGAAAGCCCCGGGCUCAACCUGGGAACGGCAUCCGGAACUGUCAGGCUAGAGUGCAGGAGAGGAAGGUAGAAUUCCCGGUGUAGCGGUGAAAUGCGUAGAGAUCGGGAGGAAUACCAGUGGCGAAGGCGGCCUUCUGGACUGACACUGACGCUGAGGUGCGAAAGCGUGGGUAGCAAACAGGAUUAGAUACCCGAGUAGUC
rnacentral:rRNA from 1 species